rnacentral:rRNA from 1 species
GUGGGGAAUAUUGGACAAUGGGGGGAACCCUGAUCCAGCCAUGCCGCGUGUGUGAAGAAGGCCUUUUGGUUGUAAAGCACUUUAAGCGAGGAGGAGGCUACCGAGAUUAAUACUCUUGGAUAGUGGACGUUACUCGCAGAAUAAGCACCGGCUAACUCUGUGCCAGCAGCCGCGGUAAUACAGAGGGUGCAAGCGUUAAUCGGAUUUACUGGGCGUAAAGCGCGCGUAGGUGGCCAAUUAAGUCAAAUGUGAAAUCCCCGAGCGUAACUUGGGAAUUGCAAUCGAUACUGGUUGGCUAGAGUAUGGGAGAGGAUGGUAGGAUUCCAGGUGUAGCGGUGAAAUGCGUAGAGAUCUGGAGGAAUACCGAUGGCGAAGGCAGCCAUCUGGCCUAAUACUGACACUGAGGUGCGAAAGCAUGGGGAGCAAACAGGAUUAGAAACCCUUGUAGUCC